rfam:Triticum urartu cultivar G1812 contig829081, whole genome shotgun sequence.
GUUCUACUCCCUCCGUCUGGAAACACUGGUAGGAGGAAUGGAUGUAUCUAGAUGUAUUUUAGUUCUAGAUACAUUCAUUUUUAUGCAUUUCUCCGACAAGUAUUACCGGACAGAGAGAGUAUAAA